rnacentral:rRNA from 1 species
UACGAAGGGUGCAAGCGUUAAUCGGAAUUACUGGGCGUAAAGCGUGCGCAGGCGGUGAUGUAAGACAGUUGUGAAAUCCCCGGGCUCAACCUGGGAACUGCAUCUGUGACUGCAUCGCUGGAGUACGGCAGAGGGGGAUGGAAUUCCGCGUGUAGCAGUGAAAUGCGUAGAUAUGCGGAGGAACACCGAUGGCGAAGGCAAUCCCCUGGGCCUGUACUGACGCUCAUGCACGAAAGCGUGGGGAGCAAACAGG